rnacentral:rRNA from 1 species
AGCUCCAAUAGCGUAUAUUAAAGUUGUUGCAGUUAAAAAGCUCGUAGUUGAAUUUCGGGAUCGGUUUACUGGUCGUGCUUUUGUACGUACUGGUAUUAUCGGUUUCUCCUUUCUGACGAACCAUAAUGCCAUUAAUUUGGUGUUUUGGGAAAUCAGGACUGUUACUUUGAAAAAAUUAGAGUGUUUAAAGCAGGCUCACGCUUGAAUACAUUAGCAUGGAAUAAUGGAAUAGGACGUUUGAUUCUAUUU